CCUACGGGGGACAGCAGUGGGGAAUAUUGGGCAAUUGGCGCAAGCCUGACCCAGCAACGCCGCGUGAAGGAAGAAGGCUUUCGGGUUGUAAACUUCUUUUAAGGGGGAAGAGCAGAAGACGGUACCCCUUGAAUAAGCCACGGCUAACUACGUGCCAGCAGCCGCGGUAAUACGUAGGGGGCAAGCGUUGUCCGGAUUUACUGGGUGUAAAGGGCGUGCAGCCGGAGAGACAAGUAAGAUGUGAAAUCCACGGGCUCAACCCGUGAACUGCAUUUGAAACUGUUUCCCUUGAGUGUCGGAGAGGUAAUCGGAAUUCCUUGUGUAGCGGUGAAAUGCGUAGAUAUAAGGAAGAACACCAGUGGCGAAGGCGGAUUACUGGACGAUAACUGACGGUGAGGCGCGAAAGCGUGGGGAGCAAACAGGAUUAGAUACCCUUGUAGUC
rnacentral:rRNA from 1 species